rfam:Chloroflexi bacterium RBG_16_63_12 RBG_16_scaffold_29942, whole genome shotgun sequence.
CUUGGUGAUUGGAGCGUCAGGGGUACACCCGGUCCCAUCCCGAACCCGGUAGUUAAGCCUGACAGCGCCGAUGGUACUUGGCGGGACACCGCCCGGGAGAGUAGGUCAUUGCCAAGG